GGUUAAGCGACUAAGCGUACACGGUGGAUGCCCUGGCAGUCAGAGGCGAUGAAGGACGUGCUAAUCUGCGAAAAGCGUCGGUAAGGUGAUAUGAACCGUUAUAGCCGGCGAUGUCCGAAUGGGGAAACCCAGUGCAAUUCGUUGCACUAUCGUUAACUGAAUACAUAGGUUAACGAGGCGAACCGGGGGAACUGAAACAUCUAAGUACCCCGAGGAAAAGAAAUCAACCGAGAUUCCCCCAGUAGCGGCGAGCGAACGGGGAGCAGCCCAGAGUCUGAAUCAGCUUGUGUGUUAGUGGAACGGUCUGGAAAGUCCGACGGUACAGGGUGAUAGUCCCGUACACCAAAAUGCACAGGCUGUGAACUCGAAGAGUAGGGCGGGACACGUGGUAUCCUGUCUGAAUAUGGGGGGACCAUCCUCCAAGGCUAAAUACUCCUGACUGACCGAUAGUGAACCAGUACCGUGAGGGAAAGGCGAAAAGAACCCCGGCGAGGGGAGUGAAAAAGAACCUGAAACCGUGUACGUACAAGCAGUGGGAGCACCUUCGGGUGUGACUGCGUACCUUUUGUAUAAUGGGUCAGCGACUUAUAUUCUGUAGCAAGGUUAACCGUAUAGGGGAGCCGCAGGGAAACCGAGUCUUAACUGGGCGUUAAGUUGCAGGGUAUAGACCCGAAACCCGGUGAUCUAGCCAUGGGCAGGUUGAAGGUUGGGUAACACUAACUGGAGGACCGAACCGACUAAUGUUGAAAAAUUAGCGGAUGACUUGUGGCUGGGGGUGAAAGGCCAAUCAAACCGGGAGAUAGCUGGUUCUCCCCGAAAGCUAUUUAGGUAGCGCCUCGUGAAUUCAUCUUCGGGGGUAGAGCACUGUUUCGGCUAGGGGUCAUCCCGACUUACCAACCCGAUGCAAACUACGAAUACCGAAGAAUGUUAUCACGGGAGACACACGGCGGGUGCUAACGUCCGUCGUGAAGAGGGAAACAACCCAGACCGCCAGCUAAGGUCCCAAAGUCAUGGUUAAGUGGGAAACGAUGUGGGAAGGCACAGACAGCCAGGAUGUUGGCUUAGAAGCAGCCAUCAUUUAAAGAAAGCGUAAUAGCUCACUGGUCGAGUCGGCCUGCGCGGAAGAUGUAACGGGGCUAAACCAUGCACCGAAGCUGCGGCAGCGACACUAUGUGUUGUUGGGUAGGGGAGCGUUCUGUAAGCCUGCGAAGGUGACCUGUGAGGGUUGCUGGAGGUAUCAGAAGUGCGAAUGCUGACAUAAGUAACGAUAAAGCGGGUGAAAAGCCCGCUCGCCGGAAGACCAAGGGUUCCUGUCCAACGUUAAUCGGGGCAGGGUGAGUCGACCCCUAAGGCGAGGCCGAAAGGCGUAGUCGAUGGGAAACAGGUUAAUAUUCCUGUACUUGGUGUUACUGCGAAGGGGGGACGGAGAAGGCUAUGUUAGCCGGGCGACGGUUGUCCCGGUUUAAGCAUGUAGGCUGGUUAUCCAGGCAAAUCCGGAUAAUCAAGGCUGAGGUGUGAUGACGAGGCACUACGGUGCUGAAGUAACAAAUGCCCUGCUUCCAGGAAAAGCCUCUAAGCAUCAGGUAACAUCAAAUCGUACCCCAAACCGACACAGGUGGUCAGGUAGAGAAUACCAAGGCGCUUGAGAGAACUCGGGUGAAGGAACUAGGCAAAAUGGUGCCGUAACUUCGGGAGAAGGCACGCUGGUGUGUAGGUGAAGCCCCUGCGGGUGGAGCUGAGACCAGUCGAAGAUACCAGCUGGCUGCAACUGUUUAUUAAAAACACAGCACUGUGCAAACACGAAAGUGGACGUAUACGGUGUGACGCCUGCCCGGUGCCGGAAGGUUAAUUGAUGGGGUUAUCCGUAAGGAGAAGCUCUUGAUCGAAGCCCCGGUAAACGGCGGCCGUAACUAUAACGGUCCUAAGGUAGCGAAAUUCCUUGUCGGGUAAGUUCCGACCUGCACGAAUGGCGUAAUGAUGGCCAGGCUGUCUCCACCCGAGACUCAGUGAAAUUGAACUCGCUGUGAAGAUGCAGUGUACCCGCGGCAAGACGGAAAGACCCCGUGAACCUUUACUAUAGCUUGACACUGAACAUUGAGCCUUGAUGUGUAGGAUAGGUGGGAGGCUUUGAAGCGUGGACGCCAGUCUGCGUGGAGCCAACCUUGAAAUACCACCCUUUAAUGUUUGAUGUUCUAACGUUGGCCCCUUACCGGGGUUGCGGACAGUGUCUGGUGGGUAGUUUGACUGGGGCGGUCUCCUCCCAAAGCGUAACGGAGGAGCACGAAGGUUAGCUAAUCCUGGUCGGACAUCAGGAGGUUAGUGCAAUGGCAUAAGCUAGCUUGACUGCGAGCGUGACGGCGCGAGCAGGUGCGAAAGCAGGUCAUAGUGAUCCGGUGGUUCUGAAUGGAAGGGCCAUCGCUCAACGGAUAAAAGGUACUCCGGGGAUAACAGGCUGAUACCGCCCAAGAGUUCAUAUCGACGGCGGUGUUUGGCACCUCGAUGUCGGCUCAUCACAUCCUGGGGCUGAAGUAGGUCCCAAGGGUAUGGCUGUUCGCCAUUUAAAGUGGUACGCGAGCUGGGUUUAGAACGUCGUGAGACAGUUCGGUCCCUAUCUGCCGUGGGCGCUGGAGAAUUGAGGGGGGCUGCUCCUAGUACGAGAGGACCGGAGUGGACGCAUCACUGGUGUUCGGGUUGUCAUGCCAAUGGCACUGCCCGGUAGCUAAAUGCGGAAGAGAUAAGUGCUGAAAGCAUCUAAGCACGAAACUUGCCCCGAGAUGAGUUCUCCCUGAGACUUUAAGUCUCCUGAAGGAACGUUGAAGACGACGACGUUGAUAGGCCGGGUGUGUAAGCGCAGCGAUGCGUUGAGCUAACCGGUACUAAUGAACCGUGAGGCUUAACCUU
rnacentral:rRNA from 1 species